rnacentral:lncRNA from 1 species
CAGUUCUGUGUCCUUCACACUCUUUUUCACAGGAACUGAGGAAAGAUGCCACGUCUAUGAUGAGAUACAGGGUGAAGCAGAGUUUCAGGUUACAAACGGUGUAGAACGAGUCCCUGUACCUACAGAUGCAUACUGCAUGGUAGAAUGUCCAGGUGGAUCAAACCCAAAUGAUCCCACAUAUUACACCAUCCCCGACCAUCAACCGAUGGAAAAUACGACCGGUAAAGACUUUACAGACAUUUAUAACCAAAAUAUUCUGUUGAUAUACUUCUGAAGACAAAACAGUUCAUAUCCAUCAUUUUAUCAUUUUUCCUCACAGACACAUCUGGACCUGACGAGUCCCCGUACUCUGAGAUCUGCGAGCCUUUCACCGGUGGAAAUAAUAAAGAAGGUAACUUUAAGCUUCAGCUCCUCUGUGAACUCCGUAAAUACACAGGUUUAUAACAUGCAGUGUUUCCCCCAGUAUUUUCUGAGACUGUGGCGCCAGU